UACGGGGGGAGCAAGCGUUGUUCGGAUUUACUGGGCGUAAAGGGCGCGUAGGCGGCGCAACAAGUCACUUGUGAAAUCUCCGGGCUUAACCCGGAGCGGCCAAGUGGUACUGUCGUGCUAGAGUGCGGAAGGGGCUACUGGAAUUCUCGGUGUAGCGGUGAAAUGCGUAGAUAUGACAUAGAACACCAAUUGCGCAGGCAGCUUACUACACAGUAAUUGACACUGAGGCACGAAAGCGUGGGGAUCAAACAGG
rnacentral:rRNA from 1 species